rnacentral:tRNA from 1 species
GCCCCCGUGGGGUAGCGGACAUCCUUGAGGCCUUCGGAGCCUCAGACCCGGGUUCGAUUCCCGGCGGGGGCG